CCAUGAAGUCGGAAUCGCUAGUAAUCGUGAAUCAGAAUGUCACGGUGAAUACGUUCCCGGGCCUUGUACACACCGCCCGUCACACCAUGGGAGUGGGCUGCAAAAGAAGUGGGUAGUUUAACCUUUCGGGGAGGACGCUCACCACUUUGUGGUUCAUGACUGGGGUGAAGUCGUAACAAGGUAGCCCUAGGGGAACCUGGGGCUGGAUCACCUCCUUAUACGAAGAUAC
rnacentral:rRNA from 1 species